GACGAACUCUGGCGGCUUGCCUAAUACAUGCAAUUCGAACGAACCGCGACUAGGUGCUUGCACUUGGUCAAGGUGAGUGGCGAACGGGUGCGUAACACGCGGGUAACCUACCUCAUAGUGGGGGAUAACUGUCGGAAACGACUGCUAAUACCGCAUAGGACAUAGGAUCACAUGAUCCAGUGAGGAAAGGUGGCGCAAGCUAUCGCUAAGAGAUGGACCCGCGGUGCAUUAGCUAGUUGGUAGGGUAAAGGCCUACCAAGGCGAUGAUGCAUAGCCGACCUGAGAGGGUGAGCAGCCACAUUAGAACUGAGACGCGGCCCAAACUCCUACGGGAGGCAGCAGUAGGGAAUCUUGCGCAAUGGACGCAAGUCUGACGGAGCAACGCCGCGUGAGUGAAGAAGGUCUUCGGAUCGUAAAGCUCUGUUGUUAGAGAAGAACAGCGCAUAGAGUAACUGUUAGGGGAGUGACGGUAUCUAAACAGAAAGCCACGGCUAACUACGUG
rnacentral:rRNA from 1 species